rnacentral:rRNA from 1 species
UACAGAGGUCUCAAGCGUUGUUCGGAUUCAUUGGGCGUAAAGGGUGCGUAGGUGGCAUGGUAAGUCGGAUGUGAAAUCCCGGGGCUCAACCCCGGAACUGCAUUCGAUACUGCUGCGCUAGAGUACUGGAGAGGAGAUUGGAAUUUACGGUGUGGCAGUGAAAUGCGUAGAUAUCGUAAGGAAGACCAGUGGCGAAGGCGGAUCUCUGGACAGUUACUGACACUGAGGCACGAAGGCCAGGGGAGCAAACGGG